ACACACACACACACACACACACACACACACACACACACACACAUAUAUAUAUAUAUAUAUGUGUGUGUAUGUGUGUAUGUGUGUAUGUGUGUGU